AGUCUGUGAGCUGGGAGCCUGUUGGCAGGUCCCUCUUUUUAUUUUCGCUGAGAGCUUUCUUUUACUAAAUGCCACCAUCCUUACCUUUCAAGGUGUCUGCGUGCCUAAUUUUUCCUGGUUGUUAGACAAGAACCCGGAUUUUAGUUGAACUCUGGAGCAAAAAUCCUGCAUCAUUUGUAGGUGGGUGUCAUUGUGACUGGCUGCUACCUCCCCAUGAGUCUUCUAAAAUAAAACCUGCAAAUUCACAUCUUCCCCAUGCUUCCAGAGAAUGCAUAUUCUUCCUUUGAAAAAAGAAAACCAGCACUGUUCAUAAUAGCCAAGAUUUGGAAGCCACCUAAGUGUCCAUCAACAGAUGAAUGGAGAAACUGUGGUACAUAUACACAACGGAGUGCUAUUCAGCCAUAAAAAAGAAUGAUACUCUGUCAUCUGCAACAACAUGAAUGGAACUGGAGAUCAUUAUGUUGUUAAAUAAGCCAGACACAGAAAGACAAACAUCACAUAUUUUCACUUAUUUUGGGGAUAUAAAAGUCAAAACAAACUCAUGGAGAUAGAGAACAGAUAGACGGUUACCAGAGGCUAGGAGGAGGAGUGGUGGGGGGCAGUUAGUGAUGGUUAAUUGGUACAAAAAAAUGGUUAGAAAUAAUAAAUAAGACCUAGUAUUAGAUAGGACAACAGGAGGACUAUAGUCAAAAAUAAUUUAUUUGUACAUUUCAAAGUAACUAAAAGAGUGUAAUUGUAUUAUUUGUAGCACAUAGGAUAAAUGCUUGAGGUGACGGAUACCCCAUUUACCCUGAUGUGAUUAUUACACAUCGUAUGCCUGUACCAAAAGAUCUCAUGUACCUCAUAAAUACAUACACCUACUAUAUACCCACACAAAUUAAAAAUUAAAAAAAUUUAAAGAAAUUACAGUUUGUUGGUUUUGAAUAUUUGACCAAAUUUUUUACUAAGCACAGAUAGAUUGAAUAUAAUUUUAUUGUCCUUUUGACAUUAUGAUAAUGAAGGUAUCUACACAGAAGUCUGAGAUGAGAAAAAAAUGAUAUAAUAUCCACCUACUACAUAGUGGGUAGUUUAUAUACUAAAGUUAUUGUUAUGAGAAAGAAUGGCUUAGGAAUAUUAUUUAAAAUUAAUUAAGGGGUGUUAAAAAUAAAAUACCAAGUGUAAAAAUGACAAAGGCAAGAAGAAACAGUAUAUAAUGUGAGUAAAUCUUAAUCUUUCCAAGAGAGGAGACAGUACAUAAUGUCUAAAAUUGUUAAACCAUGAAAUAGAAAUAUAGUUAUUUUAUUCAUAAUUAAGGAGAUAACUACUAUAGCACGAAAUCGUGCCAAAAAUGGUUGCCUCUGGGAAAUGUGAUUAUAGAUAUUAUAAUAUUUUGGACUGUAAAAAUCUGCUUUUAAGACUGAGGAAAUACAAAUAGGACAAUAUUUAUUUGAAAUUUGUAUCCUCAGGGAGUGUAAAGAAAUUAAUGUAUCCACAAAAUAAUAAUAGCUGCUAUUUGAAAACAUAGUUUUCUUGAAAGUUAAAAUAGUAAUAGUCUUCUAAAAAUUUUGUUAGUUUUGGUUUUCUCUUUAAUCUGAGUUAUGUAGAAAAGUGCUUAUUUCAAAUUAGGUAGGCUUGUUUUAUUCCUUUUUCUGUCUUUUUUCUAUCAACUAGUGUUUUAUUGUGUUCAGAAAAUGCCAUGCAUUAAAAGACUACUUUUGAGAAUUUCUAGAGAUUUUCUUUGUUACUAAAGAGAUUUUUGUAAUUGUUACAUGGGAUUUUAAAAAGAAUGUAAAUUAUCCUUUUUGUCAAGUAUAAUGAUUUCUGAAACCUAGCUGUGUCAGAAUACUGUAUAAUACUGUAAUAGUAUGUUGUUUUUGGCUAUGUGUACUUAUUUCUUAGAGUGGUAUGUUAAAGCCUCGACCUUGUGACUUUGUUUAUUUCUCUCUCUACAUCUAAACAUUUCCAAGACAUGUUAUUUGCAAUACCAAGACCAUAACUAUUAUGUAUUUAAUCAAAAUAAAAUAUUUCGGCUCUCUAUAA
rnacentral:lncRNA from 1 species